GGUCGUAUGGUCUAGUGGUUAGGACUCCGGAUUUUGACUAGUCUUUCGACUAAUAGUUUCCGGCAGCCCCGGUUCGAACCCGGGUACGACCU
rnacentral:tRNA from 1 species